rnacentral:lncRNA from 1 species
AAAGUUACAUAUAAAGGUAGUUUUGAAAGAUUUUCAAAAUUAGAGGUGUGUUUAUAAUAUUUUAAUUUUUAUAGGGGGCAUUAGUGAAAAUAUGUAUUUUUAGAAAGGCAUUGAGUAAAUUUAUAAUAUUUUAAUUUUUAUUGUUAAGUAUGUGUUUCAUUUCGAACCAGUUUAAGUUUUACUUCUUCCUCUUUCUUCGACACGUUUGUUUAUUGGUAAAAUGAAUCUCACUCUUUCUCAUCACUCUUUUUAUUACCAAUUUUUUCAAUAUUUUUAUUUUUUUAAUUAUCUAUUUGUCGUGCGAAUCUCUCGUCAUCGCUUUUUUUAUCACCAUUUUAUUAUAUAUAUAUAUAUAUAUAGAGAGAGAGAGAGAGAGAGAGAGAGUUGAGCUGGAAUGCUAUCGAUAGCAAACGGGCUUCGUUGCCACCCAUUUAUUUUCGAUGAUGGAGUUUUCAAAUUGACGAUCGGCACCGUUGAACAUGAUCUAUAUCACUUGAAGUAUUUAGAAAUUAAAUUUCAAAUUUUUUCGACAUCAUUUACCUAAUGAUCAAAGGGUUUCAAAAUUAGUAAUUUUAAUGGUUGAUAUGAGGGGUUUUCUCGUUUAACGGUGUAAAGCUAUUCAAAUUAAUUGAAUUUUGGUUAGAAAAUUCUUUAAACUAUUUAGAACAAGAUCUAUACUCGAUCAUGAUUACAAAAUUUCUAUCAUCACUUUUUAGAGGAUAUGCAUUUUGAGCCAUUCAUUUUUACGCCCACUCGAUGGACAAGAAAAUAAUAUCGGAAAAGUAUGAAAUUUGAUUUCUAAAUACUUCAAGUGGUAUAGAUCAUUUUCAAUGGUGCCGAUCGUCGAUUUGGAGGUUCCAUCAUCGAAAACAAAUGGGUGGCAAUGGUGCCUGUUUGCUACUGAUAGUAUUCCAGCUCAACUCUCUCUCUCUCUC